rnacentral:rRNA from 1 species
AACGGACGCUGGCGGCAUGCCUAACACAUGCAAGUCGAACGUGAUCCGGAGCUUGCUCCGGUGAAAGUGGCGCACGGGUGAGUAACGCGUGGGAACCUGCCCAGAGGUAGGGAAUAACCGCGGGAAACUGCGGCUAAUACCCUAUAUUCCCUUCGGGGGAAAGAUUUAUCGCCUUUGGAUGGGCCCGCGUCGGAUUAGCUAGUUGGUGAGGUAACGGCUCACCAAGGCGACGAUCCGUAGCUGGUCCGAGAGGAUGAUCAGCCACACUGGGACUGAGACACGGCCCAGACUCCUACGGGAGGCAGCAGUGGGGAAUAUUGGACAAUGGGCGCAAGCCUGAUCCAGCAAUGCCGCGUGAGUGAUGAAGGCCUUAGGGUUGUAAAGCUCUUUCGGCGGGGAAGAUGAUGACGGUACCCGCAGAAGAAGCCCCGGCUAACUUCGUGCCAGCAGCCGCGGUAAGAC